AAAGCACUUUACUUUGCCGGUAUCCCUCACCCCCUGCCAGACUCUUCUAUAAAAAGCCGAUUUCUUAAGCAGUUACUCACUGCUUUAUAAUUCAUAGACUCUCCCAAAAGUUUUAACGUUCUCCCUAUGAAAGCAGUGAGGGGGAAGUACGGAUGGAGACAACUACUUACGAGCCACAAAUAUCCUGCUCUAACACCGUCUCCUCUUGCGAUGUGCGCGUUACAUUUCUAUCAUGCGUGCACUAAAUUUAUAUGUCAUGCAUUCCCUUAACAAGACUAUUCAUACAACUAUGAUAAAUAGGGCCAUAAUCUGCAGCGAUUUCAAUCCUUCUGUAUGCCAGCAGGAGUCUCUUAGCAACCGUUGCUAGGAGCAACGCCAGCAUCCCGCAUCUUUUGUCGGAUUCGAUGGCAACCAAGCUUCCAGGCUUACAGCGGAGUCUCCAACUAUACCCUGGAGAGCACAAAACCUCCCUUCCCCCUCCCACCAACCUGUGCUAUGGGGAGAGACACUGCACGGAUGCUGUGAUUUCCAGUCCUUUUCAAGCAGGACUGUCCAGAUCAUACAGUGUUUUUCAAUGGUCUUCUGGAUUAAGGGAGAAAAGGAAAACCUGGUAAAAUCCCUCUGAAAAAAAAAAAAAAAAAAAAAAAAAGAUGGGAGCCCUAUGCAAAUCGAAUCAAGGUGUAUUGAGAAAUGCCAGCUUUAAUGAUGACAUCUGUGAUACAGGCUGAGAAGGGUACUGGGCUGCUUCUUCCUCAGGGAAUAUAUGAAUUUUUCAUCCCAAAUCAAUUACUAGGUUUCUCUUCCCAUUGCUGUCCUUAAGGCUGUCAGACACCUCAGCCUAAAACCCUUGUUCUUAGGCCAUUGACACCUCAGUCUUAAAAAAAAAACACCCUGAAAAUAGAUUUACCUCUUGUCUGAAAUUUAGCAUCAGAAGGGAUUACCCUGGCAUCACAUCAUAUUUUGAUCAAUGGCAAACUUUUCUUCUUUAAAAAAUAAUUCCAGCACUUUUCACAUACCUUUUCCUCAUUUGCAUUUAAAUUGCUUCAUUAGGUGGCAUGCCAUUUUCACUGUGUUCUAUUUGUCUUCUAGGAAUAAUUUCUCCCUUUUCCCUUUUAAACUUGCAAAAUGUGCAAGUUUAACCCAAGGCCCACAUUGGAGCAGUACUUAGAUACUGGCCUAAAAGAGAAAGACAAGUUAAAACAUGGGUGACACUGUCUCCCCUGUAAGCAGCAGCACGGCUGUCAGAUCAGUAGAGGAGAUGAAAUAUUAUUUGCCAUAAUACUUUGGCACCAGCAGUUGAUUUAUGGAUCCUGUGUCAGACGUAGAUUUAAAUUUCCUUGUUUAUCCUACGGUUGAAUCAUGAUUGUCUUGUUGCUCCUUCCCAUGAGAGCCAGUCAAGUAUUUCAAGCUUAUAUUAUAUUUGCUGGACCAGGGCUCAUUCUGUUCAGCUUGAAAUUAGCAUUGCUUACACAGCUUUAUCUGUCUCAGCCUUAUAGCCCUGAUCAGACCUUCAGGAUACAGCAGGGAGCCUAAAAGCUCCUCUUCACAGCUUUCAGAGGCUUUUGGGUGAGGAAUCUACUCGAUUCUUCUCAUUUUAGAGUACUGUAAUAUAGA
rnacentral:lncRNA from 1 species